rnacentral:lncRNA from 1 species
AGCUGAUACGGCCCGAUCCAUGGCUGCUUCGACCAGCAUAACUCGGAACUCGGAUAGUUGUGUCGGCUGUCGGAAACCAUUGUGGUUCUUGAAGUAGCUUUUGCAUGGAUCCGGAUAAGGAGUUUUGUCGCACCACCUGUCAACACCUUGACCACUGGUGGAAUUGCCAUCGACUACGGUGGUGAAAGGACGGAGGCAGAGUAGUGAUAGUAAUAUCAAAUGUAAAGAUUGAGAAGAGAAUUUUUGUAACAUCAUCUUGAUGUGGUUUUGGUGUGAGAGGGUGGAAUUGAAAGUAAAUGCUAGAGACUAGAGAGUGGGAACAUGCAUGACUCCAAGUCUCCAAUCUAUAUCUUAAAUCUAUAAUUAUAUAUUGAGGUGUACGUAUUAACAUUUAAAGCAAAACAAGCAAACAAAAAUUUAUAUUGUGAGGUUAUGAAUGAGAUGAGAUCUACCUUUUGCUAGCUCGAUGGCUGCUGUCUUCUUAUUGCGUGAACGAUACUAUCACUUAAUUCUAGUAUAAAGAUAUUGUUUUAGAGGGGUUUUAGGAGAUACUCAUCAUACUUUAACAAGUUUUUCGUUUUUAGUAAUAUUGGCUUGUAAAAAAUUGUGCAUGUUGUUACUAAACAAUGGUCUGAUUUAACUUUUAAAAAAAUUUAUGUGUUCAUUUCUCUAUUAAAUUAUGACUUCUUCGUAAUUUGAAUUAUUACUUCUUCUACGUACGUAAUUUGACUAAAAAAUAAGCUAUUGAAAAAUCAGUAAUUAAGUUUUAAAAAUUCUUAAACAAUUCUACGUUUCCUAGAAAAAUGCCGUACGAGAUCAAGAUUACUAAAAAUAAAAAUUAUAAAUAUCCGACAACAAUUAAAUAUCGUCACUUGAAGGUAUUAAAUAUGAUUACUAAUAACAUAUAUAUAUAGAAUCCAAGAUGUAAUUAAAAGUCAUAAACAAAUUAGUUACUCUUUUUUAUCCUCUGUUCCUUCACUUCACAUGCAUGCUAUGUAUAUCGUCAACCAACAUAUUAUAUUAACUAUCAGACUCAAAUCUAAAUUCAAUGCAAAAACAUGUUAACAUUUAUCUCUGUCUAAAUUAAUGAUCAGCAAGACUGGAUCGUUUAAUUUGUUGUUUAAGUGUUUCGACUAGUUCACAUUUUUUUACGUAAAAUAUGCACAGUACGUCCAUAUAACAAAUUAAUAUAAAUUAAAAAGAACACAAACGAUCUUAUGUUAUAAAUAGUAGUCUUUAAAUUUGCAAUACUCUUAUAAGAGGUUUUUUUAACAAAUUUUUAAUCUAAAAGCCUCCCAAGACCAUUAUAGCUUCUAGCUAUUGAAUGGGAAUGCAAUUACUAGAAUUAUACACAUUUCAAAUCAUUAUAGUUUUCAAUUGAUUAUGAACAUUCAACUUGUCGAGAAAGAUGGCAUGUUCGUCUUCUCUAGUUAAUACUUCGAAAGAAUAUACUAUAUAAAAUAAACCAUGUGAUCCCUUGAGUGUCCUAUGCACACUUACUCACGCAAUUAAUCACUGUAAAGAAACAAAGAACAGAAGCACACAGAUAAUUUAAACAAGUCCACUAGUUACGACUUUAUUACGCGUAAACGUCCUUAAUUAAAUCUUCUAUUAGAAAACCACUUAGACAAUCACAUAUACAACACGAUCUUGCUCAAGUGAAUUCAUAACGCUCAUAGCCAAAGGUUCAUUUUCGCAAUAUAAACUAUAUUUAGAAUUACUAAAUUUUACAUCAUUGUAAUUAAAGCAUGAAAUUAUAACCAAGUCCUUUUAGAGUUCGGAAGUGAAGGGUAUGCUGGUGCUUGGGAGCCAUGAAUUACCGGCGAUGAAUUUUCCGACAGUGAAAGCAGAUGCAUCGGAAGCUUUGCUCAACACAUGAAACCCUUUCCAACGGACACGCCACCUCGUGGAUGAAGCCGGUCCGAUAUUCUUAUAUUCCGCAUAGAACAGCGUGUCAAGACCGUAUGUCGAACCUUUAGUCCAUGUAGACCACCCUACAGGACUCACAACACUAUCUAUAUACGUCUUAAGAACAACAGUACGCGAGUACUUCAUCCAAGGUCGGCCCAUAUAUGUCUUAACACUACGGACCACCGGUAUUAGAUCAGAAGCCGGUAGGAUUAUUGAUUUAUGGAUAGAGAUCCCCGUGUUCUGAAAUAGAUCAGAACGACCUUGCGCAGUUGUUACAUUGGAUUGACCUUUAAGCGGUCGGCGAGGGAGGAUAAUACAGUUUUGAAGAACGACGGCUGCGUUUCCAAAGAUGAAAUCGACUGUUCCAUAGAUGUAGCACUCGCGGUAAAACUGGCGUUGCGAAUGGACCAUCAAUGUGUCUUGGUAACCUUCUAUUGAGCAUCUAUAGAAGAUUGAAAGGUCCGAAGAUGACCGGAGUGCCACGGCCUGCCCCUUUGCCGGACCAGCCGUGUUUCGGAACGCUAUGCCUUUGGCUAUGAAGUGAAGUCCCUCGAUACCUAAAUCAUACGCAAUUUGGCCAAUUUGUUCGAUUAUAGUCAGGAAAAAAAUAUAACAAAAAAUGUAAAUGGUGAAUGUUACGUUAGUUUAGAUAGUCAUAAUAAUGCUGCCAACAAAACAAAGAUUAGUGAAAAAAAAAAAUUACCGGCAGUGGCGGAACUAUAAGUUGUAUAACCUCCUUUAACACUUCGACCACUGGUGAUAAUGGUGUAUCUCAUUCCAUCUCCGACCAACAUUACGUUAUCGUUGUUAAGACGUACGUUUAUGUUUUCUUGAUAUAUCCCUCUCUUCACGUAUAUAACAUACCUCCCUGACAUCACCUUUCUCCGUCCAGCCAAGUCAAUAGCCGCUUGCACCGUCUUGAAAUGUCCCGAUCCGUCUUUGGCCACUACGACGUUGGCCCGCACCGAAUGCGAUUGGAGAAGUCUCCUCUCUUUACCGGAAAACCACGUCGGAGAACCCUUCGAAUCACCGGUGAUGCUCUCGUUUUUUCCGGCGGUCAAGAGGGCUCCGUUGAUGGCUAAGCAGUUGCUGAUGAGGUGGGAUAUUUUUGUGUUUGAAACAAUGGGUGUGAUGAAAUCUGUGACGUUGAGAUCGGAGGAGCCUCGUAGGCAAGUCUCGGUGUUUGUAAGCGCGGUGCUUAGCCACGUCUGAGCGUCGAAGUCAGUGCAACGUUUCCCGAGACCCGGUUUUGAAGACACGCCUUGUAACGUGCGGUUAAGCUGCAUGACAGUGUCUCCAUAGAGGUCAAGGCAAUCUGCCAAGACGGCUUGUUUCUUGCAAUCGAUGGUGCAGUUCUUGCUGGAGUUAGCCAAUUUGUCCCGAGCGGAUAUGGCACGAUCCAUGGCUGCUUCCACGAGGAGUACUCGGAACUCGGAUAUUUGUGUUGGCUGUCGAAAACCAAAGUGUUUUGUGAAGUAGCGUUUGCAUGGAUAAGGGUAUGGAGUUUUGUCGCACCA